CUUUGACACAACAAUCUUUAAGUACUUAAAAUCUAUAGUGGACUGGACCACAACAAAAUUUGUAAAACACCCAGAAGAAGAAUACAACCUGAACAUUAGAAAAAGAAAGAAAGAACGAGUCUAAGAAAAAACAAGAUUACCAGACUAGGAAACAGCUCCAAUGAAGUGUACCCCUUUACAGUGCUAUAUGAUUCGUUCUGCAAAUUCAAGAAUAUAUAACAUGGCGAAGAAAAAAGAGAAGUUCUUUCUUUCUCUUUGUGGUUGUUAAUUCUUUUCACUUUUGAAAUGUUUUUUUUUUUUUUUUUCAAUUUUCAAAAGAGGAAGAGAGGGAGAAUAAUAAUAGUAUGAUGAGAUCAUAUAUCUAACUUUUUCUUCAGCAUUUAGUGAAAUUAUGAUACAAUUACAUGUUUGAAAA